CAAUUUAAACAACGAAGAGUUUGAUCCUGGCUCAGGAUGAACGCUAGCGACAGGCUUAACACAUGCAAGUCGAGGGGCAGCGGGGGUAGCAAUACCCGCCGGCGACCGGCGCACGGGUGAGUAACGCGUAUGCAACUUACCUAUCAGAGGGGGAUAACCCGGCGAAAGUCGGACUAAUACCGCAUGAAGCAGGGAUCCCGCAUGGGAAUAUUUGCUAAAGAUUCAUCGCUGAUAGAUAGGCAUGCGUUCCAUUAGGCAGUUGGCGGGGUAACGGCCCACCAAACCGACGAUGGAUAGGGGUUCUGAGAGGAAGGUCCCCCACAUUGGUACUGAGACACGGACCAAACUCCUACGGGAGGCAGCAGUGAGGAAUAUUGGUCAAUGGCCGAGAGGCUGAACCAGCCAAGUCGCGUGAGGGAUGAAGGUUCUAUGGAUCGUAAACCUCUUUUAUAAGGGAAUAAAGUGCGGGACGUGUCCCGUUUUGUAUGUACCUUAUGAAUAAGGAUCGGCUAACUCCGUGCCAGCAGCCGCGGUAAUACGGAGGAUCCGAGCGUUAUCCGGAUUUAUUGGGUUUAAAGGGUGCGUAGGCGGCCUUUUAAGUCAGCGGUGAAAGUCUGUGGCUCAACCAUAGAAUUGCCGUUGAAACUGGGGGGCUUGAGUAUGUUUGAGGCAGGCGGAAUGCGUGGUGUAGCGGUGAAAUGCUUAGAUAUCACGCAGAACCCCGAUUGCGAAGGCAGCCUGCCAAGCCAUGACUGACGCUGAUGCACGAAAGCGUGGGGAUCAAACAGGAUUAGAUACCCUGGUAGUCCACGCAGUAAACGAUGAUCACUAGCUGUUUGCGAUACACUGUAAGCGGCACAGCGAAAGCGUUAAGUGAUCCACCUGGGGAGUACGCCGGCAACGGUGAAACUCAAAGGAAUUGACGGGGGCCCGCACAAGCGGAGGAACAUGUGGUUUAAUUCGAUGAUACGCGAGGAACCUUACCCGGGUUUGAACGCAUUCGGACCGAGGUGGAAACACCUUUUCUAGCAAUAGCCGUUUGCGAGGUGCUGCAUGGUUGUCGUCAGCUCGUGCCGUGAGGUGUCGGCUUAAGUGCCAUAACGAGCGCAACCCUUGCCACUAGUUACUAACAGGUAAAGCUGAGGACUCUGGUGGGACUGCCAGCGUAAGCUGCGAGGAAGGCGGGGAUGACGUCAAAUCAGCACGGCCCUUACAUCCGGGGCGACACACGUGUUACAAUGGCGUGGACAAAGGGAAGCCACCUGGCGACAGGGAGCGAAUCCCCAAACCACGUCUCAGUUCGGAUCGGAGUCUGCAACCCGACUCCGUGAAGCUGGAUUCGCUAGUAAUCGCGCAUCAGCCAUGGCGCGGUGAAUACGUUCCCGGGCCUUGUACACACCGCCCGUCAAGCCAUGGGAGCCGGGGGUACCUGAAGUCCGUAACCGCGAGGAUCGGCCUAGGGUAAAACUGGUGACUGGGGCUAAGUCGUAACAAGGUAGCCGUACCGGAAGGUGCGGCUGGAACACCUCCUUUCU
rnacentral:rRNA from 1 species